AAAGAAAAUAACAACGAUUCCCCUAGUAACUGCGAGUGAAGAGGGACAAGCUCAAAUUUUAAAUCCGUCGGGUUACACCUGACCGAGUUGUAAUUUGAAGAGGCGUUUUCCGCGUUUUUGAUCAGUCCAAGUCCUUUGGGAUAGGGCAUCUUGGAGGGUGAGAAUCCCGUUCGGCUGAUCAGAUUCGCUUUACGGUACGUCAUCUAAGAGUCAAGUUGUUUGGGAAUGCAGCUUAAAAUGGGAGGUAAAUUUCUCCUAAGGCUAAAUAACGGCGAGAGACCGAUAGCGAACAAGUACCCCGAGGGAAAGAUGAAAAGAACUUUGAAAAGAGAGUUAAACAGUACGUGAAAUUGUUGAAAGGGAAACGAUUGAAGCCAGUCGUAUCGGUGGGUAAUCAGCCUUUCGGCGUGAUUAUGUGGAGCGUGAGGAGUCAAACGCCCUCAUGCCUGCAUAUUCGUGUUCUUUGGGUGUACUUACCCGCAUGGUAGGUUAACAUCAAUUUCGAACGUCAUAAAAUGGUUGGAGGAAUGUAGCUUCGAUCUCGUAUUGAAGUGUUAUAGCCUUCGGCAGAUGUGAUGAUCGGGAUUGAGGAUUGCAACGGAUACCCCUCGGGCUACCCGUCUGAUCUCUGAAAGUUACUCUGGUGCCGAAAGCUCGCUUACGGUCAUCAAAGUUGCGUUCAACAGGUUAGAACGGGAUAAAUUCGUUAAGGACGUUG
rnacentral:rRNA from 1 species